rnacentral:rRNA from 1 species
UACGGAGGGUGCGAGCGUUGUCCGGAAUCACUGGGCGUAAAGGGCGCGUAGGCGGCAUGCCAAGCGUGUGGUGAAAGCCCGGGGCUCAACCCCGGGUCGGCCGUGCGGACUGGCGUGCUCGAGCACUGUAGGGGCGGGUGGAUUUCCGGGUGUAGCGGUGGAAUGCGUAGAGAUCCGGAAGAACACCGGUGGCGAAGGCGGCUUCCUGGUCCGACACCGACAUUCAGGCACGAAAGCGUGGGGAGCAAACAGG